CCAACCGCGCCGCCUCCGCCUCUGCCGCAGCGGCAUAUCCAGCCUUCUGCGGCGACCUCCGAGUGCCUCAUACGCUCUAGAUCCGUCGACCUGAACCAAUUAUUCGUGUGAGGCACUGCAGAAUAUAAACUAAAAAGUGGUUACCAUGGCUGAGGAUGCUAUUGCGCUGAAUGGACUAAAUGGUGACCAUCAUAGGCAGUUUCAUAGGUCCGUGAUACCGAUUCUUAUGUAUGAAAGGGAAGGUAAAAAUCCAAAUAAUCCAAUUGCUGUUAUUUCGGGCAUAGUCACGGUCUCUGGUGGAGGGUUUUGCCACAUAAUAGCAUACAAGGGGUUACUUUUCCCCAAUGAGGCACAAAAGUACAGAUAUGAAAUUGCUUUUCCCAAUGAUAUGAGGGUAGACCUUGAACACCUCGGCAUGGAAAGACAUGGCUUUUUGGCUGGUUUCUACUGUCGUGUUCAUGCUGGAACUGUAGAUGCUGCCCACUUUGGUAUUCAAACUAUGAGGAACCAAAAACUUAAGAUGUAUGGAUAUCAGGUCGAUGAUGUAUCAGGGCGAUUAUAAAAUGAUCUAACUGACGGCCGUGUGACUCAUGUAGAGAAACAAGAUCAAAAAUUGGGACAUGAUUGUACACCUUCCAUUUUUUCUCGAAGUGGAUCACCUGUUUUCAAUCAGCAAAGGCAACUUGUUGGUAUAUCUUUUAAGGAUAUUGGUGUAACUAAGGCCUUGGAUGUUGGGUAUAUAACUGCUACCCUUCCAAAAUUUUGUGGAGGAGGGGAUAACAUGGUAAUGUGUUUUCUGGUAUCAAUAUAAUGUAAUCUUAUGAUGUUUGCAAUGCUUAUUCUUUUUUGUUUAUGUUUUGUUUAGCCUAUGUCAGAUGUCUUAGAACGUAUUAGACUUCUUGGUGAACAAAAAUUUGCUCCACCUGAGGAUAUGGAGCCUUCUCCUUCACCCUGAGAA